rnacentral:tRNA from 1 species
CCAACCAUAGCUCAGUUGGUAGAGCGGAGGACUGUAGGUGUUGUGCGGAUAUCCCUAGGUCGCUGGUUCGAAUCCGGCUGGUUGGA